AACUUACCUUGCUUCACCUUGGAGAGUUAGCCACGACCAAGGAGCUUCUGGAUAAGGAAGGGGCAGUCUGGAUAAGGUUUCCUCACAGCUAGAGAGGCUGGAGACAGGCUGUAAAGUAGACAGCAUCUAGUAAAAGAUGCCAAAGGGAUCAAGCAUGUGAAGACUCCCAUUGGCUGCUUUUGGAUAGCUCUUUUUGACUACACAUGCUCUGAAUCUCUACCCUAUCAGAUACAUUUCGAAAAUGGAUUGUCUCACUCAUAUAAAUAUGUUGUAAACCUCAUCUUUAAUAAUUAAUGGAGUUUUGAGUAUUCUCUCUAUUCUCUCUCUACUUAUUCUCUUAAUCUCUUUAAUCUUACACAAAACAAUCUGAUUGUUCUUAAACACACUCUAAUACACAAAAGUGUUUAUGGUAUCAGAGCCAGGUUACUAAAAGGGUGGAAGUGUGUUAUUCAUGUUCUUAAAAAUAUGGUUUUGUGUUCUUGAGCUGUUCUUGAUGUUCUUGAGUGUUCUUGGUGGUUUUGAGCUAUGUUCUUCAUUUGCUGGGUUUUAUUGAGGACAUCUGAUGGAGUCAAACGUGAGCAGAGAGAUGAAGACAAGAUCAAGUUAUCAAGUGAAGAAAGGGAGAGAAAAUGAGUGGAUCUGGUCAGGUUGGGUAGAGACAGCUUUGGAAAGCUGUGGGAUUUGGAGUAAUCAUGUAAAGGAAGAGCCUUUAAAGGUGAGAGCUGCUGAGAAAGAUCAGACAGCAAGUUUGAAGGAGAUUCAAGUAAAGGUAGAACCUUUAAAGGAGGUAGCUGCUGAAGAAGGUCAGACAGCAAGGUUGGAGGUUCAUGAAGCCAAGGGCGUGAUCUAUAGUCUAGGACAAGGGAAGGACGAGUUGUAUCAGCUUGUGGGGAGGCUGAGAGAAGUAGAAUCAGAGUUGGGUAUGGUGAAAACUCAUACAGGAAGGAGGAAGCAAGAUGUGAUCUUUAGCUUUCUUAUGGGAGAGAUAUGUGAGCUGGUUGAACACAUUUGUGAUGUGUGGGAGAUAAACAAGAAGCCAGGUAGAUGGAAGAGAGGUACAAGCUGCAAGAAGGGAAAGUUGAGAAAGCUUUCUAAGAUGUGGGUUAUGAUGAGCAGAUUAUGGAGGAAGGAUAUCAAGGAGAGUAUGCAAGUAGGAGAGUGUUUCUACUCAGCUUACAUGGGAGAAUCUGAAGAGAGCAGUGGGGUUAUGAGGAAGCUAGAGUCAAAAGGAGCGGAUGAACCUGUCACAAAGGAGGAAUGGGAUGAGUUUGUCAAGUAUGUGUAUGCUUUGGCUACGACCCGGAGACAAGGUGCUCCUGCCAAAGCAUCCACAUCCAACAAACCCAUCAUUAUUGAUUCUGGAGCAAGUCAUCACAUGAUUAGUGACAGAAGCUUAAUGAGUGAUGUAAAGGAAGCUACUGGGGGUGUGAUGAUAGCAAAUGGUGAUAGGAUUCCAAUAGAAGGAGUUGGAAAGCUCAAGCUAUUUGAUAAAGACUCAGAUGCCUUCUACAUGCCACAAUUUGCUUCAAAUCUACUAUCUGUGAGGAAAGCCACGAUUGAUCUUGGCUGUCAGGUAGUCUUCAGGCCAGAUGAUGUUGAGUUCCAAGAUUUGAAGACUGGAAGGGUCAUUGGGAGAGGAGACAGCAAGAAUAAUCUAUACCAGCUCCAAUUGGCUAAGAUCUCUAAACAAUUUGAUUCUAUGUGUUUGAGUAGUACUUAUGAGAAGAUUGAUAGUAGUACUUGGCAUGCUAGAUUGGGACAUCCUCAUGCUCGUGCUAUUGAAUUGAUAAUUCCUAAUAUGUCAUUUAAUCACUUGGAGUGUGAAGCAUGCAUAUUAGGAAAGCAUUGUAGGACUGUUUUUCCAACAUCAGAAACUACUUAUGAGCAUUGCUUUGAUCUAGUUCAUUCAGAUGUGUGGACUGCUCCUUGUUUGUCUAGAGAUAGCCAGAAGUACUUUGUGACAUUCAUUGAUGAGAAGUCUAAGUAUACUUGGCUUACAUUGCUUCCAUCUAAAGAUAGGGUGCUAGAAGCAUUUAUGAACUUCCAAGCAUAUGUAUCUAAUCAAUACAAUGCUACUGUGAAGGUACUGAGAUCAGAUAAUGGAGGUGAAUACAUCAGCAAUGCCUUCAAGAGUCAUCUAGCCAAGCAUGGGAUUGUGCAUCAGACUAGCUGCCCUUAUACACCACAGCAGAAUGGUGUAGCUGAGAGGAAGAACAGGCACUUGAUGGAGGUUGCUAGAUCAAUGAUGUUUCAUGCAAAUGUACCAAAACGCUUUUGGAGUGAUGCUGUGCAGACUGCUUGCUAUCUCAUCAACCGGGUUCCAACCAAGAUAUUGAAGAAUCUGUCUCCAUUUGAAGUGUUGAACAAGAGCAAACCUGUCAUUGAUCACCUACGUGUCUUUGGGUGUGUGUGCUAUGUCAUGGUUCCAGGAGAGCAGAGAAACAAGCUGGAGGCAAAGAGUACUAAGGCUAUGUUCAUUGGUUACUCUAUCACUCAGAAGGGGUACAAGUGCUAUGAUCCUGAAGCAAGGAGGGUGAUGGUAUCUAGAGAAGUGAAGUUUGUUGAAACAAAAGGUUAUUAUGAAGAAAAGGAGUGGGAAAAUCUGAAAGAUUUGUCUCAAGCUCCAUCUGAUAAGGCAACAAUACUGAGAGUGUUGUUGGAGAAGCUUGGGAUAGGGUUAUCCCAGGAUCAGGAAGCAGGAAGGAGAGAGCCUUCCAAUCAGACUGGUGGAGCUGGAAGAACAACUCCUCUUGAUCAUGAGAGGGGGAAUGGAACUGAAUCUGGUGAGCAAGAGCAAAACCAAGAGAAUUCAGGUCUUCAUGAUCAAGAUAUAUCACAAGAAGUUGAGAACAAUGUUCAGUCUAGUGGAGAAGUGGAUGAGGUUCAGUCUAGUGGAGAAGUGGAUGAGGUUCAAUCUAGUGGAGAAGAACAAGUUGGACCGGCCAGUUCAGAAGAAGAGCAAGUGGAGCCGGCUAGUGUGCAAACUGAAGAUCAGGUUCAAGCUUUGAGGAGGAGCACAAGGAUAAAGAGGGAUCCUUCCAACUGGGUAAACACGAGAGUGUACUGCAAUGCCUAGGCUGUGGAGCAUCCUUCUCAAGCCGUGUGUUCCUUUGCUGAGUUUCCAGAGGAGCAUUAUGCCUUUAUGAUUAGUCUGGAUGAGAGUUAUGUACCAAGAACUUAUGAAGAAGCUAUGUUAGACAAGGAAUGGAAAGAAUCAGUGGGAGCGGAAGCAGGUGCUAUGAUCAAAAAUGAUACAUGGUAUGAGAGUGAGCUGCCUAAGGGAAAGAAGGCCGUAUCUAGUAGAUGGAUCUUCACAAUCAAGUAUCUAGCAAAUGGACAGAUUGAUAGGAAGAAGACUAGAUUGGUUGCAAGAGGAUUUACACAGACCUAUGGAGAAGAUUACAUUGAUACCUUUGCACCAGUAGCUAAGCUGCACACAGUUCGGAUUGUGUUGUCCAUUGCGACAAACUUGGAGUGGGAUUUGUGGCAGAUGGAUGUGAAGAAUGCUUUCUUACAAGGUGAGCUAGAAGAUGAGGUAUACAUGCUUCCUCCUCCUGGUCUUGAGCAUCUAGUAAAACCAGGGAAUGUUUUGAGAUUGAAGAAGGCAAUAUAUGGGCUUAAGCAGUCUCCUAGAGCUUGGUACAGGAAGCUGAGUACAACUCUCAAUGGGAGAGGAUUCAGGAAGUCUGAACUUGAUCAUACACUCUUCACUUUGGUUACUCCAUCAGGGAUCAUUGUGAUACUGGUAUAUGUGGAUGAUUUGAUUAUCACAGGGAGUGAUAAGGCUGGGAUUAAAGCCACUAAAGAGUUCCUCAAGUCUGUGUUUGAUAUCAAAGACUUGGGAGAGAUGAAGUAUUUCUUGGGGAUUGAGAUAUGCAGAUCCAAGGAGGGUUUGUUUAUGUGUCAAAGGAAGUAUACAAUGGAUAUGCUGAAGGAGUCUGAUGUACUUGGAGGAAAGGUAGCCAAGACACCUCUUGAAGAGGGGUAUAAGGUCUUACGUGAGGGGGAGGUUGAAGAGAACCAGUUGUUUGAGGAUGCUAAGCUGUAUAGGAAGAUGGUUGGCAAGCUGAUCUACUUGACUAUUACCAGGCCAGAUAUAUGCUUUGCUGUGAAUCAAGUGAUUCAACAUAUGCAGGCGCCAAAGGUCCAUCACUGGAAGAUGGUUCAUAGGAUACUGAGGUAUCUGAGUGGGACGGCUGGACAAGGAGUUUGGAUGGGCUGUAAUGGCAGUACAGAAGUGGUUGGGUAUUGUGAUGCUGAUUGGGCAGGAGAUAGAGUGGACAGGAGAUCAACUACUGGGUAUUGUACAUUCAUUGGAGGGAACUUGGUUACUUGGAAGAGUAAGAAGCAGAAGGUUAUCUCUUGUUCAAGUGCUGAAGCGGAGUAUAGAGCCAUGUUGAAGCUGACAAACGAGUUGGUGUGGAUUAAGGGGAUCUUGAAGCAUCUAGAGAUUGAGCAGAGAACUCCUAUGACUAUGCAUUGUGACAAUCAAGCAGCUAUCCACAUUGCCUCCAACUCAGUGUUUCAUGAGAGAACAAAGCACAUAGAGGUGGAUUGUCAUAAGGUGAGGCAGAUGAUUAUCUUAGGAGUGAUUCUACCAUGUUAUACAAGAAGUGAAGAUCAGCUUGCAGAUGUGUUUACCAAGGCAGCGAGAUUGAAGACAAUGGAGUCCAUACUAUCCAGGCUUGGACUCAUUGAUCUUACUCCCAGGAGCUGAACCCCUUAACCAUGGAGUCUCCACUCUUUUUCCCUCAUCAAAGUUUUAUCCCAAUGGGUUUUCUUUGGUGAGGUUUUUAAUGAGGGAGGUCUUCAUGGUUUCCAAGCUUGACUUGUUCCACAUGGUCAAGCUUGAGGGGGAGUGUUGAGAUGAGGUAAUAAAGAGUGAAUACAUUGAUAGAGAAAGAGGAUUGAGACAUACAGUAACUUUGGAGUUUUACCACAGUAACUUUGUUUUACUAUGGUAACUAAGUAAAAGCUUGGAAACUUACCUUGCUUCACCUUGGAGAGUUAGCCACGACCAAGGAGCUUCUGGAUAAGGAAGGGGCAGUCUGGAUAAGGUUUCCUCACAGCUAGAGAGGCUGGAGACAGGCUGUAAAGUAGACAGCAUCUAGUAAAAGAUGCCAAAGGGAUCAAGCAUGUGAAGACUCCCAUUGGCUGCUUUUGGAUAGCUCUCUUUGACUACACAUGCUCUGAAUCUCUACCCUAUCAGAUACAUUUCGAAAAUGGAUUGUCUCACUCAUAUAAAUAUGUUGUAAACCUCAUCUUUAAUAAUUAAUGGAGUUUUGAGUAUUCUCUCUAUUCUCUCUC
rnacentral:lncRNA from 1 species